UAGGGAAUCUUCCGCAAUGGGCGAAAGCCUGACGUAGCAACGCCGCGUGAGUGAUGAAGGUCUUCGGAUCGUAAAACUCUGUUAUUAGGGAAGAACAAAUGUGUAAGUAACUAUGCACGUCUUGACGGUACCUAAUCAGAAAGCCACGGCUAACUACGUGCCAGCAGCCGCGGUAAUACGUAGGUGGCAAGCGUUAUCCGGAAUUAUUGGGCGUAAAGCGCGCGUAGGCGGUUUUUUAAGUCUGAUGUGAAAGCCCACGGCUCAACCGUGGAGGGUCAUUGGAAACUGGAAAACUUGAGUGCAGAAGAGGAAAGUGGAAUUCCAUGUGUAGCGGUGAAAUGCGCAGAGAUAUGGAGGAACACCAGUGGCGAAGGCGACUUUCUGGUCUGUAACUGACGCUGAUGUGCGAAAGCGUGGGGAUCAAACAGG
rnacentral:rRNA from 1 species